rnacentral:rRNA from 1 species
CAGGUACAGAGGGAUGCUACCGGGCGACCGGAUGCGGAUCUCGAAAGCCUGUCCCAGUUCGGACUGGAGUCUGCAACCCGACUCCACGAAGUUGGAUUCGCUAGUAAUCGCGCAUCAGCCAUGGCGCGGUGAAUACGUUCCCGGGCCUUGUACACACCGCCCGUCAAGCCAUGGGAGCCGGGGGCGCCUGAAGUUCGUUACCGCAAGGAUCGACCUAGGGCAAAACUGGUGACUGGGGCUAAGUCGUAACAAGGUAAC